AAUGCGCCUUAGGGCACCGUAUCGAUGAUGUGCGGAUCACGGUCUCUAACGGCGCACAGCGGGGCCAUUAUCGUGUGUUGUCACCGUGUGCCAUUAAAAGGACUUUAAUCUUCCGAUCGCCGCCGCGAUACGCGGCUCCUGCCAGGGAUCUGCUGACUAACAGGCCGGGACGCUGCGAAACCCCCCAGCCCCCGGCGUAGCCUGAAAAACACGGCCCGGCUCCCCCGUCAGUCAAUCGCGGCAACUCAAUUAAUGCAUCUGGGUCAGGAAAAUGGUUUGCGGGAGCCUGAGCCCGGUUACGAAACGCAGAGAUACCGCGGCGGGUACCGCGGGCAGCGCCCGCUGCGCCCAGGUGCAGCCAUCCCCUCGUGUGACAGAUGUGGGCUCCUGACUGACAUGUCUUCAUGUUGUGUGGUAUUUUCUGUGUGGGGUAAGAGAUUGCUCAACCUGGCCACCUGCAAGGCUCUGUCUGGCCCUUUAUGUCAUCUCUGACAGCAGCCACCGGUAGUGUUUUCCUUCCACCUGGCAUUUUGCAGUCCUCUCUGAGGCCCAGCCCAGCCUGCAGAUCUGGGCAGGAUCUUUCAUCCCACAGACCACCUUUGGGGAGGUUAUCACGCAGCAGCUGCAUAACAUACAUAAGUAGAGAAGCUACGAGGACUGCACGAGACACACAAAACCAAACUAAAUUACAUACUGUUUUUUACUAGGUUCUGAUGAGUUCAGAAGCACAGCAAGGGCCUCUGUAAUACUUAUGAAUUACUGACAUGGUAUUAUUUCUAUGCAGAAGCAGGACAAAAUAGUCACACAGUGGGUGCACUACGGAUGUGGUACCAUAUGAAAAGACUUCACCGUUUCCAUGCAGGAAUAAAAGAACCAGAUACACCUUUCUGGAACAUGUUUUGAUGCAGGAUUUGGUUUUUAGCACCUGGAUAAAAUUACUGACCUCCAGAGCAUCGCUGUAGACUGUGAAGUAGUACCAAAUAAAAUACAAAGUUCUACAUUUACUUUCUCCUGAAGAUUUUUCUGUCAAACUGGGUCAGCUUCUAAGUAAAGCAAGAGAGCAUUUUAAUCUGUCAGCACUUCAAAACUAGUCUGGUACUUGAAAAUUACUUCUGGGCUUAAAAAUGUCGUGGACUCUGAAUUUGGCAGGCAGUGUUGUUGGUGCAUGAGAUCUAAUGGUAUAUAAUUCAAAACCUGAUCUUUUCUGCUUGGCUGAGCUUGCCAUUAUUUUAGCAAAUAUUUGCUUUGGUGGGUUUUGAGGGUGAUAUGAGCAAAUGAAAGCUCCAUAAAGAUAUUUUUGCUAACACUGAAAAUGAAAAACUAAAUCAACAUCCCCCCAGUUUUUUAAUCAGUAGCAUUUGCCACCUUUAAAAAAAUACACUCUAUUAUAGGCAUGGAAGCAGAUCAUAAAACUGUUCUGCCCAGAUCUGCAGGGGAAUCAAACAGAUGGCAGAUUCCACUGCAGUUUGGAUGAAGAUUUCAUAGUUAGAUAGGCAAGAAAAUAGUAAAGUGGCUUCAAGGUCAGCAAUGAGGUGAAAAGCAGAUUUUCUUCAUCCAGGAGCAUCUACAGACUUUCUCACACAUUUAGAGGAAAUGCACCAAACUCAGAAAUUCCUUCACUACCAGGAGCAAAAUUCCUCAGUGUAAGAAGAUAUUGUACAGGGGGAGAAUUUUGUUGGUUAACUGUUUUUUUUUUAAAUUAAGAUUAAAACUAUUUUUGCCAAAUAAUUGUGCAUGACUAUUUAUGUUAGUAUGUGGUCUUUUUAAAUUCAAUUAAACCUGCAGGUGGUCAUACACCAGAUUGUAAAUAAUAUUAGUUAUGAAUUUUGACAACCAAAAGGAUUCUCAAGUAAUGGUUAUUGUUAUUCAAUUUGUUCUGGGACCAACACACAUGGAAAGCUGUUGGCAAAUGAUUCUUUUC